rnacentral:rRNA from 1 species
UAGGGAAUCUUCGGCAAUGGGGGGAACCCUGACCGAGCAACGCCGCGUGAGUGAAGAAGGUUUUCGGAUGGUAAAGCUCUGUUGUUAAGGAAGAACGAGUGUGAGAAUGGAAAGUUCAUGCUGUGACGGUACUUAACCAGAAAGGGACGGCUAACUACGUGCCAGCAGCGGCGGUAAUACGUAGGUCCCGAGCGUUGUCCGGAUUUAUUGGGCGUAAAGCGAGCGCAGGCGGUUAGAAAAGUCUGAAGUGAAAGGCAGUGGCUCAACCAUUGUAGGCUUUGGAAACUGGUUAACUUGAGUGCAGAAGGGGAGAGUGGAAUUCCAUGUGUAGCGGUGAAAUGCGUAGAUAUAUGGAGGAACACCGGUGGCGAAAGCGGCUCUCUGGUCUGUAACUGACGCUGAGGCUCGAAAGCGUGGGGAGCGAACAGG